UGUGAGCUCGAUGAGUAGGGCGGGACACGUGGUAUCCUGUCUGAAUAUGGGGGGACCAUCCUCCAAGGCUAAAUACUCCUGACUGACCGAUAGUGAACCAGUACCGUGAGGGAAAGGCGAAAAGAACCCCGGCGAGGGGAGUGAAAAAGAACCUGAAACCGUGUACGUACAAGCAGUGGGAGCCUCUUAAUGGGGUGACUGCGUACCUUUUGUAUAAUGGGUCAGCGACUUAUAUUCUGUAGCAAGGUUAACCGAAUAGGGGAGCCGAAGGGAAACCGAGUCUUAACUGGGCGUUAAGUUGCAGGGUAUAGACCCGAAACCCGGUGAUCUAGCCAUGGGCAGGUUGAAGGUUGGGUAACACUAACUGGAGGACCGAACCGACUAAUGUUGAAAAAUUAGCGGAUGACUUGUGGCUGGGGGUGAAAGGCCAAUCAAACCGGGAGAUAGCUGGUUCUCCCCGAAAGCUAUUUAGGUAGCGCCUCGUGAAUUCAUCUCCGGGGGUAGAGCACUGUUUCGGCAAGGGGGUCAUCCCGACUUACCAACCCGAUGCAAACUGCGAAUACCGGAGAAUGUUAUCACGGGAGACACACGGCGGGUGCUAACGUCCGUCGUGAAGAGGGAAACAACCCAGACCGCCAGCUAAGGUCCCAAAGUCAUGGUUAAGUGGGAAACGAUGUGGGAAGGCCCAGACAGCCAGGAUGUUGGCUUAGAAGCAGCCAUCAUUUAAAGAAAGCGUAAUAGCUCACUGGUCGAGUCGGCCUGCGCGGAAGAUGUAACGGGGCUAAACCAUGCACCGAAGCUGCGGCAGCGACACUAUGUGUUGUUGGGUAGGGGAGCGUUCUGUAAGCCUGUGAAGGUGUACUGUGAGGUAUGCUGGAGGUAUCAGAAGUGCGAAUGCUGACAUAAGUAACGAUAAAGCGGGUGAAAAGCCCGCUCGCCGGAAGACCAAGGGUUCCUGUCCAACGUUAAUCGGGGCAGGGUGAGUCGACCCCUAAGGCGAGGCCGAAAGGCGUAGUCGAUGGGAAACAGGUUAAUAUUCCUGUACUUGGUGUUACUGCGAAGGGGGGACGGAGAAGGCUAUGUUGGCCGGGCGACGGUUGUCCCGGUUUAAGCGUGUAGGCUGGUUUUCCAGGCAAAUCCGGAAAAUCAAGGCUGAGGCGUGAUGACGAGGCACUACGGUGCUGAAGCAACAAAUGCCCUGCUUCCAGGAAAAGCCUCUAAGCAUCAGGUAACAUCAAAUCGUACCCCAAACCGACACAGGUGGUCAGGUAGAGAAUACCAAGGCGCUUGAGAGAACUCGGGUGAAGGAACUAGGCAAAAUGGUGCCGUAACUUCGGGAGAAGGCACGCUGAUAUGUAGGUGAAGCGACUUGCUCGUGGAGCUGAAAUCAGUCGAAGAUACCAGCUGGCUGCAACUGUUUAUUAAAAACACAGCACUGUGCAAACACGAAAGU
rnacentral:rRNA from 1 species